GUUGCCACGUGCUGUAACGCUGCGUGACUCACUAUUUCUUGUCGCAAUGAAAUUAGGGUAAUAUUAUACGUUGCUGUACCUCAUACCUCAUUUGUCGCACACUGUAGUAGCACACACGCACAGUUAAGGCCACAGCACAAAUGGAAAGGUGAGGUUAGGUUCGCAUUUCGUAAUAGUUUUCUUCGCUAGAUUGUCUAAUUUUUUGCACCUACCGUUCUAAAUUUACCUCGAUGCAUGUUCUCAUGUUCGCCGAGAAGUCGCAGGGUAAGAUGGCGUGUACGAGUUUGAAAUUAGGAUAUAUUGUAAGGACAAUAGUUCCACACCUGUUGUUGUAAAUAUUUUUGGGAUUGCUAACCUCAAUUCGAAUUUGGGAGAAUCAAAGAAAUUUUGUUAUGUAAAUGGGUUGGUAAAUAUAAUCCUUGUAUCCACGCAUGCGCCCACAUUUUAAUAGGAAAAAGUCAGGUUAUGUUCACAAUGUUUCAUCAUGUUACCUUAUCUUAUCAAUCACCGAUGCCGCAAAUGAAACAUUUCUCCCAGAUGUGAGAAGAACCCGAACAGCCUCGUUGUGUGUAACGGCAACCGUCAUACGUUGGUGAGUACGUACGAGUAGCACAUUUUGAUUUUUCGAUAUUCUAGAAAAUGGUAUUACAUAAUAUUCAAGUUAUCCGGGUAGGAAUAAACAUACAAUUUAGUGGUUCUGCUUGAAAAAAAUAGAUCAAGAAACGGUGAACUUGAAUAUACAAAGCGGAACACAACAUUACGCCCUUCAAAAAUCGAAGAAAACGGUAAUAGUGAGCCCAAGCAUUUCCAAAUGUAAUUUUCUCUCAAAAAAGACGGGACAGCUAAUUCGAGAUGUAUCGCAAGGAAAAAUUGAGGAUCCUAGUUCAAAAGAAACUUACUUGUUCACCUUGGAAGAUAUAUUAGGUAAAUAUAUACGUAUUUAGAUUAGUAAGAAGAGUAAGAACAUAAUAGUGGACCAUUCUAUUCACGAUUUGGUAGUUUAAAAACUAAAAGAAAUGUCAGGGCUGACCAAUUUAGAAUUACAUUUUCGCAAAGAAGAUUACAAUUUUAUCUGUUCUGGCACACAAUCCUUUAUGUUUUGAAAGUAUGUAAUAGACAAAUAAUAUAAACUACAAGCCACAUGGCUAACAAAACAAAUCAUUGGUCAAAUAUUUAAAUUAAAGGGAAAACAACCUUUGAGGUCGUGUUUUGCUAUGGUAUGUUCUCCAAAAUCUUUAAUGACAAUUUAAUUUCAAACUGAUGGUUGUAAAUAUCAGUUCCCUACAGGUAGUUUUAGUUGAAAUUCUCAUUAUGGAUUUAAGUAUUACAACAAAAACGGAUUAACUACAAAUAAAAUCGGAACAAAGUCUAUACAUCAAUCACAGGAAAGGGACAGACUAAGAUCGAUCAGGAACGCCCAAGGUCCCCGAUGGCCUCUAAGUCAACGUUUCAAAGUAUCGGCACCGUAUUGACGUGAAACUGAUCUUUGGAAUCAUCGCAGAACUGGAUUAUUUAAAUGUCUUCAAGACUGACCUGAAGUAUACAGCAAAACGGGUAACGAUGGAUCCCUUGAUUCAGAAUGAUCUUGGAAUGCGUGUAUCUUUUUCAGGCAGCCUUUGAAUUUUAAAUGCAAUUGUCGAUGCUUGUUUUUUUUUUUUUUUAGUAAACCCAGCGAAACACGUAUUAAGCAAAUAGCGUGAGCGAAACUCGCGGCCCGUUUCUCAACAUACAAGAAACUAUAUAAUCAAAAAUCAAAAAUGAAAGAUUUUAAUUUAUCUGCAUCAGGUAUUAUUUAAAGUGGCGCUUCAUAAAAUAUUACUUAAAAUAAUUUGAUUAGAGAGAAUUAAACAAAUUCUCAUUUUGUUAUAAAUAAAAAGUCGGACAAAAACGGUGCCUCCCUUCCCUCAAUCACAAAACAAAACAAAAAAAAAUACCAGGAAGUCUUAACAAUGUACCUUCUCCCCACUACCUUUCCCAAAUACCCCGCCUACUUUACGUAGCCCCAACCCGAUAUACGUCACUCGCGCGAUUCGUGGAAACUUUCCACAAUCACCUCGACAUACUCUUAAAACCAAAAAAAAAAAAAAAAAAUCAAUCUCCAACAUACGUACCUCAACCCCACACGUGACUGCGAUAAUGUCCGUUAUGUUAUCGGCGAUUUUCUUGUCAAAUGCCCAUAUCAAGUCCUGUGUGCACGAACACAAGCGACAGACGUUUUGGAACAUCGUGCUCUUAUUUGCAACGAAAACACUAACAGCAAUUCUCGCCCGUAAAUAUUUAUUUCUCGUACUGUAGUAGCCGCUUUCACUGUUUUAUCGUACAGGGGGAACGGGAGCUGCGAAUCGAGAUGGCUGCGUAACUAGGCGUGACCUCAAUGAUGCGGCGUUGCCGAUCUGUGCGAUAACUGUGUGUUUUGUAUUGUGUUUCAGGACCAGAUUUAGAAUAACCGUUCGAUUUCAAUUUUGUGCGCACAAUCGUAGCACCUGCGCACGUGUGCCCCUACUACAAAAAGUGCGGUUAUGGCGUCCGUUUUUCACUACAUUUUUGUGGAAAUUGGAAGAUCUACUGAGUUUUUACACGUACCUUGACACCACAAAUGAUGUAAAUAAUGUUGGCUAAUAUGGACUGGUUUCCCGUGAAGACCCACAACAGAUUCGUCCUGCGGAAACACAACCGGCAUCCGUUGGCACGCACGCCAGGGGGGCACAUUUUGCGUGUCUGAUAUCGUGGGGAGUGUUUUCUGCUAGGUUUGUUCAUGUUUUUCACAAUUUGAGAGCACUUUUUAGCAGUAUGGUUAAAUUAAUCGGAUAGGAAUAAAUAAACAAGAAAUUAAGGUGUUGUUUCCAUGGGGACUAGGGUUGCUAGGUCUCCGGUUUUCCCUGAAGCUUAGGAGUUUGGGUGUCAUCUGAGUGGAAUCUCCGCCCGAAGAACUGGUAAAGUAGAAAUUCCAUAUUCGGGCGGUCAUUGGUAAACUUUUUGUGUGAAAUGAGUUUGUACCAAGUCAGCAACUAGUAAUGCAGAUGCAAAAUUUUGCUUUUGGUGAAAUCCGGUCACUUUUGGUCAUCGGUAUUAGAUAUACGUUAUUGGCAACCCUAAUGGGGCUCUAAUUGAAAGAUCAACGAAUUGGGCAAAGAUUUGGAUGAAAGUGGUUGACUUGCUAGGACAGUGCUAAUAUCUUCAUUUCUCAGGCAUCUUUACUGUUAUCAUUAUGCAAUGAUUGUCUGUUGCAGGGGUUAUCACUGAGCAAGCAAUACUGUGAAUAUUUUUGCGAGUGCCGAUAAGGAAGUAGAUCGAGGCAGAAGUAAAUGUGAUGGAAGAAAUCCGGAAAUAGACGGACCUUGAAACGACAGUACUUUUCCAUAUAGUACUUAACGAGUAAACUUAAGAGCAGAUGUGAAGACUAUUGGACACAACAAAAUUGUUCAAUUUUGAAUUCUACAAUUUCGGAAAAAUAUAACGAGAGGGGCUACGGAUAAAACAAAAUAAGAGAACAAAGGUUAAAACCAUGUUAUUAUGUUAUUAUAGCCCUGCUCAAACAGAGGUGAUAAUAGAGUGGUAGUUCCGAAGGCUCAAGUAUCGGUCUACGAGGUAAGCGCCAAACAUUCUCGGCCUGACAUAUUUGCCAUUGCGCGUCGGGAAAUUUGUACAACUCAUAAAUUACUACAGUCUCCGUAGCAAGUGUGUAAAAUUUCAAGCCCCACUGCCCAUUAGUUUUGAAUUGCUCCAAAGGAUAUUAAAGGACAGGAUGAUUGUUGCAUAUGCUACUAAAAAAAAGAUCACAAUUGUUUCUCAUGACCUCGUUCUGGUUGGCCAAAUGAAGUCUAAUGAAGACUACCCGACAAUCAAUCGACACUGUAGAAGAUAUUGUGUUAAAUGAUCGGCGUUUGAAAGUAUGGGAACUGUUCGCCGCAUUUUACAUGAGCAUUUAGAUAUGAAAAAGGUAAGCGCAAGAUGGGUUCCUAAACUUCACUCCCCUGUUGGGAAACCGCAUCAAGUGAAUCGCGCGAGAUCAUUUUUGACGUUGUGUAAAGGCCAGCAGGAAGCAGUUUUGCAGUCAAUUGUCACGGGAGACAAAACUAUUAUAUGGUCCUUUAUCAUGAUCCCUUAUCCAAAAAAGAAUCUAUGGAAUGGCGAUUUCCUGGUGAACCUCCAGCUUAUUCAAUCUUCCAAAAAAAUCAUGGCCACAAUUUUUUGGGACUGUGAAGGCAUGCUGUUGACUGAUUUUAACGAAGGAAAUACCACUGCCAACGCUACAUAUUAUGCUUCAUUACUAGACAGCGGAUUUCUGUCGGGCUACGUCACGAUUAUAGGUGGGGACGCGCUGGAUCGCCGGGACUCAGUAGCGGGUGAUAGAUAAUCACUGAAUUUAAUCGGUACUAAUUCCAUAAAUAUAAUUAACGAUUUAUUAAUCAAACGGCUAAGUAAAUGAGAACGGGAAUUAACAGCAGAGUGCAACGAAACAGCGUUAUUCUAAUCUCAAAUAAACGAAGUGCACUCCGUAACCGCAAUGAAUUCGCAUCCCGUACGAGCCGAACCGAGUUUGGCCUUGCCUAGCCCGACAGAAAUCCGCUCUCUAUUCAUUACUGCACAAAUUACGAGAAAGUAUUCGAGAAAACCGACCGGGAAAAUUAAGAUAUGUUCGAUUGCUUUAUGACAAUGUGCCCGUUAAUACCACAUGUCUUGCUUAAACUGCUAUAGGGGACUAUGGAUUCUCGCAGGGAAAAUGUUUUGCGACGGAUAAAGAGGUGCAAUUGGUAGUACAUUAUUUUAGUGAUAAAAGAUUCAAAUUGGUUUUUCAAAGGGAUAGAGCUGUUAGUUAAUCGUAGUGUUAAAUGUAUUGAAGUUAACAGAGAUUAUAUUGAAAUAUAUAUUUUUGCAA